GAGAGAGAGAGAGAGAUCGGAGGAAAGGAGAGGAGGGAGGGAGACUUUCUGAGAAGGGUUAUAACUUAGUGGAAACAUAGACAGGGCUACCAGACUUCUCAUUGUUGUCUCCAUGGGGGGACUCCAUGGGACAGAGCAGAGUCAUGACACAACUCUCAACAAGAAUCAAGACGUGCCCAUACAUAAGACCAUUUUAUAUCUCCACCUCCCUAGGCUGACCCAAGUACAAGUACAAAUAUGCUAACCUCCAAGAUCCAAUCUGAAGGAUUCUUAGAGAAGCAGCUCUGUAAAAGAUUUUUGGUGCCUUGAUUGAAGGCUUUAUUCCCACACACAGAUUCAUGGACUUGACCCAAUGAAAAGAGUAAUGUUUACUCCAGGGGAGUGGAUUGAGCCCUGGGAAGUGGUAUCUUGGUAAAUGUUUAAGUAGUGGGAUUUCUGGGAAAAAAAAAAAGGAAUGUGAAUUGGUGCCAAUUUCAAAGAUGCAAAUAUUUCCACCAUGGCAGAUUUCAAGCUACCAAACUGAGAGCACUGAAUGCAGAGUUGGGAAGGGAUGCACACAUUGGCUGUCCAGCCCAUUACUGGACUGCGACACUAGACCAAACAUUACUGAACCUGUUGGGAAGAAAAGCCUCAUGGCACCUGGUAAACCUUGCGUAGAAGCUACUGGAUCCCAAUGUGGAGGUGGAUCUAGGCCAAAGGGAUAUUUCUUAAAGAUAGACAAGGGUGAGUUUAAGACAGAGGUUGAAAGACAGGCAUUCAUAACCUCCUUAGAAAAGGAAUUUUAAAGACCACGGUGCUAGCAUACUCUAUCUAGCAGCAAUUUGGUCUCCACAAACCUGAACCAGAGCCAAGGGGAAGAGUAUGAUUUACAGAAUGCCACAUAUAUAUUUGUUCCCCCAAAGCCCUGCCUGAGGCUGCCUGAGGUUGGGAGUUCCCACUUCUAGCUCAGUGUGGAAAGAACCAAUGGGCUACGGAAUGUCAGGAAGAACCUGCACAUGCUUUGCUUGUGCAAGAGCCACGUCCUGCUCCUUCCAGAAGCAUGGCUCACCUGAAGCCCAGCCCUGGAGCCCAUAUAAAAGGUGUCCCUGCUGCUGGCACCUCAUCUGCUCAGCUUCCUCAGGGACAUGAUUGCGGUUGUCUGAGACCAGGGUUGGCUGAAAUCCCACCAAGAUGUCCUGUCAGCAGAACCAGCAGCAGUGCCAACCCCCUCCCAAAUGCCUGCAAAAGUGUCCCACCCCUAAAUGUCCCCCUAAAUGUCCACCCAAGUGCCCCCCAGUCUCUUCCGGCUGUGGCUCCAGCUCUGGGGGCGGAGGCUGCUGUAGCUCUGGGGGUGGUGGCUGCUGUCUGAGCCACCACAGGCAACGCAGGUCCCACCGCCACAGACACCAGAGCUCUAAAUGCUGUAGCAGUGGCAGCAGCCAACAGGCUGAAGGAUCUGACUGCUGCUCUGGGGGCUGCUGCUGACCUUAACCAAAAGGAACACUGAGGAACAGCGUUGCAAGCAUUAAAAGACAAAAGACCUACUGCAGCUUGGUGUUUUUGUCCCCUUUUCUCUCUUGUCUUACCCACCUGGGAUUUGCUGAUGAUUUGCUGCUCAGAAGCCAUCAACUUUAUGCUUUGGGUUUGCGCUCUUUUUGGCCUCAUGUGAAUAUCAAUUUUACUCAGGUUGUUGAAAAAUAUCCUAAAGAUGUGCUUUGCAACUGUAAAUUUACCUUCAAGUCCCAAUUUUAUUGGUGGUUUUUAUUCCAUUUUUUUCUUUUUCUUACCUAAAUCCUUGUCCUCCCUGGUUAGAAAGACAGACUUACCGCUUUUACUAGACUAGAAAAAACCAACCAAUUAAACUUUAAUGAACUGAUAUUUAAUGUAUGUUUAUCUUCAAGAAAAUCUAAACUUCUGCAAUAUUCAUGUGAAGUCAGUAAAUUAGGAUGGACUAGAAUUCCCAGAGGAAUCUAACUUAAAAAAAGAUUAGGAGGGAGUAGGGCAAAUGAGGAGAUGUGGGUCAAAGAGUACAAACUUCUGGUUAGAAGAUGAUAAAUUCUGGGGAUCUGAUGUACCACAUAGUGAUUAUAGAUAACAGUACUUACUGUACUCUACACUUGAAAGUUGGCAAGAGUAGAUCUUAAAUGUUCUUGGCACAAAAAAAGAGAUGGCAAUUAUGGACGUUAAAUUUAUACAAUGUUACAAUGUCAAUUAUAUCUCAAUAAAGCUGGAAAAACAUUGGUGAUGAAAAAUAGCCAUGCUACUCAAGUGAUUUGGACAGAAGAUCCUAUUAAGUAAAAAAUGUAAUUGUUGCUUCAUGCAUACCUCCUAAGGACAAUCUCUCUCCGUCUCUCUCUGUCUCUCUCUGUCUCUCUCUCUCUCUCUCCUACUUGCUCACUGUUUUUAAGAGAAUUGAGAUAACAGAAUAGUCCCAGCUCCAGUUGGGAACUGAUGGAGAAAGCUUGCUGAUCAUCUUUGAAAGUGCUCUCUUUAUGCUGUGUUGUGAACAUACAGAAGUUUGGUUAAAUAAAGUAUGAUUAAAACCCA